rnacentral:rRNA from 1 species
GACGAACCACACAAACGUUAUUCGGAAUUACUGGGCUUAAAGGGUGCGUAGGCUGCGCAGAAAGUUGGGUGUGAAAUGCCUCGGCUCAACCGAGGAACUGCGCCCAAAACUACUGUGCUUGAGGGAGAUAGAGGUGAGCGGAACUUAGGGUGGAGCGGUGAAAUGCGUUGAUAUCCUAAGGAACACCCGUGGCGAAAGCGGCUCACUGGAUCUCUUCUGACGCUGAGGCACGAAAGCUAGGGUAGCGAACGGG